UACAGAGGUCCCAAGCGUUGUUCGGAUUCACUGGGCGUAAAGGGUGCGUAGGUGGUGAGGUAAGUCGGAUGUGAAAUCUCGGAGCUCAACUCCGAAAUGGCAUUGGAAACUACCUCGCUAGAGGAUCGGAGGGGAGACUGGAAUUCUCGGUGUAGCAGUGAAAUGCGUAGAUAUCGAGAGGAACACCAGUGGCGAAGGCGAGUCUCUGGACAGUUCCUGACACUGAGACACGAAGGCCAGGGGAGCAAACGGG
rnacentral:rRNA from 1 species